rnacentral:rRNA from 1 species
CGACCUCAAAUCAGGUAGGACUACCCGCUGAACUUAAGCAUAUCAAUAA